rnacentral:rRNA from 1 species
GCGAAAGCCGGAUUAAUACCGCAUAAGCUCUGAGGAGGAAAGCGGGGGAUCGCAAGACCUCGCGCUGUUGGAGCGGCCGAUGUCGGAUUAGCUAGUUGGUGGGGUAAGAGCUCACCAAGGCGACGAUCCGUAGCGGGUCUGAGAGGGUGACCCCCCACAAUGGAACUGAAACACGGUCCAUACACCUACGGGUGGCAGCAGUAGGGAAUUUUGGACAAUGGGGGGAACCCUGAUCCAGCCAUGCCGCGUGAGUGAAGAAGGCCUUCGGGUUGUAAAGCUCUUUCGGACGGAACGAAACGGUUACGGUGAACAAUCGUGACUAAUGACGGUACCGUAAGAAGAAGCACCGGCUAACUACGUGCCAGCAGCCGCGGUAAUACGUAGGGUGCGAGCGUUAAUCGGAAUUACUGGGCGUAAAGCGUGCGCAGGCGGCCUCUUAAGACAGGUGUGAAAUCCCCGAGCUUAACUUGGGAAUUGCGCUUGUGACUGGGAGGCUGGAGUGCGGAAGAGGGAGAUGGAAUUCCUGGUGUAGCAGUGAAAUGCGUAGAGAUCAGGAGGAACACCGAUGGCGAAGGCAGUCUCCUGGGCCAGCACUGACGCUCAUGCACGAAAGCGUGGGGAGCAAACAGGAUUAUAUACCCUGGGUAGUCCACGCCCUAAACGAUGUCGACUAGUUGUUGGGGAAGGAGACUUCCUUAGUGACGCAGCUAACGCGUGAAGUCGACCGCCUGGGGAGUACGGCCGCAAGGUUAAAACUCAAAGGAAUUGACGGGGACCCGCACAAGCGGUGGAUGAUGUGGAUUAAUUCGAUGCAACGCGAAGAACCUUACCUACCCUUGACAUGUGCGGAAGGGGGCAGAGAUGCUCUUGUGCCCGAAAGGGAGCCGCAACACAGGUGCUGCAUGGCUGUCGUCAGCUCGUGUCGUGAGAUGUUGGGUUAAGUCCCGCAACGAGCGCAACCCUUGCCAUUAGUUGCCACAUUUCAGGUGGGCACUCUAAUGGGACUGCCGGUGACAAACCGGAGGAAGGUGGGGAUGACGUCAAGUCCUCAUGGCCCUUAUGGGUAGGGCCUCACACGUCAUACAAUGGCGGAUACAGAGGGUUGCCAAAGCGCAAGCUGGAGCCAAUCCCAGAAAGUUCGGCGUAGUCCGGAUUGGAGUCUGCAACUCGACUCC